rnacentral:tRNA from 1 species
GCCUAGUUAGCUUAGUUGGUAGUGCGUCUGCCUUGUAAGCGCUAGGCCGCGGGUUCGAUUCUCGCCCGGGCC